GGAUCCAGACUUUGAUUAUGGCUCGGGAUGAACGCUAGCUACAGGCUUAACACAUGCAAGUCGAGGGGAAACGACAUCGAAAGCUUGCUUUUGAUGGGUGUCGACCGGCGCACGGGUGAGUAACGCGUAUCCAACCUGCCCAUCACUUGGGGAUAACCUUGCGAAAGUAAGACUAAUACCCAAUGAUAUCUCAAGAAGACAUCUGAAUGAGAUUAAAAAUUUAUCGGUGAUGGAUGGGGAUGCGUCUGAUUAGCUUGUUGGCGGGGUAACGGCCCACCAAGGCGACGAUCAGUAGGGGUUCUGAGAGGAAGGUCCCCCACAUUGGAACUGAGACACGGUCCAAACUCCUACGGGAGGCAGCAGUGAGGAAUAUUGGUCAAUGGGCGAGAGCCUGAACCAGCCAAGUAGCGUGCAGGAUGACGGCCCUAUGGGUUGUAAACUGCUUUUAUAAGGGAAUAAAGUGAGUCUCGUGAGACUUUUUGCAUGUACCUUAUGAAUAAGGACCGGCUAAUUCCGUGCCAGCAGCCGCGGUAAUACGGAAGGUCCGGGCGUUAUCCGGAUUUAUUGGGUUUAAAGGGAGCGUAGGCCGGAGAUUAAGCGUGUUGUGAAAUGUAGAUGCUCAACAUCUGCACUGCAGCGCGAACUGGUUUCCUUGAGUACGCACAAAGUGGGCGGAAUUCGUGGUGUAGCGGUGAAAUGCUUAGAUAUCACGAAGAACUCCGAUUGCGAAGGCAGCUCACUGGAGCGCAACUGACGCUGAAGCUCGAAAGUGCGGGUAUCGAACAGGAUUAGAUACCCUGGUAGUCCGCACGGUAAACGAUGGAUGCCCGCUGUUGGUCUGAAUAGGUCAGCGGCCAAGCGAAAGCAUUAAGCAUCCCACCUGGGGAGUACGCC
rnacentral:rRNA from 1 species